UACCCCUGUAGUCCUAACCGUAAACGGUGUGCACUAGAACGUGGGAGGCUUAACCCCUUCCGUGUCGUAGCUAACGCAUUAAGUGCACCGCCUGGGGAGUACGGUCGCAAGAUUAAAACUCAAAGGAAUUGACGGGGACCCGCACAAGCGGUGGAGCAUGCGGCUUAAUUCGAUGCAACGCGAAGAACCUUACCUGGGCUUGACAUAUAGCUGCAUACGAUCCGAAAGGAACGUAGCCGUCCGAGGGUGCUAUACAGGUGCUGCAUGGCUGUCGUCAGCUCGUGCCGUGAGGUGUUGGGUUAAGUCCGGCAACGAGCGCAACCCCUGUGUUUAGUUGCCAGCACGUAAUGGUAGGAACUCUAAACAGACUGCUGGUGAAAGCCAGAGGAAGGUGGGGAUGACGUCAAGUCAGUAUGGUCCUUAUGUCCAGGGCUGCACGCGUGCUACAAUGGGAUGUACAAUGGGAAGCUAAUCCGCGAGGUGGAGCAAAUCCUCAAAACAUCCCCCAGUUCGGAUUGUAGUCUGAAACUCGACUGCAUGAAGUUGGAAUCGCUAGUAAAGGUAUAUCAGCUACGAUACCUUGAAUACGUUCCCGGGUCUUGUACACACCGCCCGUCACAUCAUGGAAGUCUGUUGCACCCGAAGUCGUUGAUCCAACCCGUCUAGGGAGGAAGGCACCUAAGGUGUGAUAGGUAACUGGGAUGAAGUCGUAACAAGGUAACCGUA
rnacentral:rRNA from 1 species